GGCUCCGUGGUCAAGCGGUUAAGACAUCGCCCUUUCACGGCGGUAUCACGAGUUCGAAUCUCGUCGGAGUCA
rnacentral:tRNA from 1 species